UACGUAGGGGGCAAGCGUUGUCCGGAUUUAUUGGGCGUAAAGAGCGUGUAGGCGGCCAUACAGGUCCGUUGUGAAAACUGGAGGCUCAACCUCCAGACGACGACGGAAACCGUAUGGCUAGAGUCCGGAAGAGGAGAGUGGAAUUCCUGGUGUAGCGGUGAAAUGCGCAGAUAUCAGGAAGAACACCCGUGGCGAAGGCGGCUCUCUGGGACGGUACUGACGCUGAGACGCGAAAGCGUGGGGAGCGAACAGG
rnacentral:rRNA from 1 species